rnacentral:tRNA from 1 species
AGGGUUUUAGUCUAAGAGUAUGAUUGAAAUUUUAGGUAUUUCAGGUUAGAAGUGGGUCUUCUAUUACCCUU